rnacentral:rRNA from 1 species
AGUCGAUGGGAAACGGGUUAAUAUUCCCGUACUUGGUGUUACUGCGAAGGGGGGACGGAGAAGGCUAUGUUGGCCGGGCGACGGUUGUCCCGGUUUAAGCGUGUAGGUGUGUGUUCCAGGUAAAUCCGGUUCACUUUAACACUGAGGCGUGACGACGAGGCACUACGGUGCUGAAGCAACAAAUGCCCUGCUUCCAGGAAAAGCCUCUAAGCAUCAGGUAACAUCAAAUCGUACCCCAAACCGACACAGGUGGUCAGGUAGAGAAUACCAAGGCGCUUGAGAGAACUCGGGUGAAGGAACUAGGCAAAAUGGUGCCGUAACUUCGGGAGAAGGCACGCUGACACGUAGGUGAAGUGAUUUACUCAUGGAGCUGAAGUCAGUCGAAGAUACCAGCUGGCUGCAACUGUUUAUUAAAAACACAGCACUGUGCAAACACGAAAGUGGACGUAUACGGUGUGACGCCUGCCCGGUGCCGGAAGGUUAAUUGAUGGGGUCAGCGCAAGCGAAGCUCCUGAUCGAAGCCCCGGUAAACGGCGGCCGUAACUAUAACGGUCCUAAGGUAGCGAAAUUCCUUGUCGGGUAAGUUCCGACCUGCACGAAUGGCGUAAUGAUGGCCAGGCUGUCUCCACCCGAGACUCAGUGAAAUUGAACUCGCUGUGAAGAUGCAGUGUACCCGCGGCAAGACGGAAAGACCCCGUGAACCUUUACUAUAGCUUGACACUGAACAUUGAGCCUUGAUGUGUAGGAUAGGUGGGAGGCUUUGAAGUGUGGACGCCAGUCUGCAUGGAGCCGACCUUGAAAUACCACCCUUUAAUGUUUGAUGUUCUAACGUGGACCCGUUACCCGGGUUGCGGACAGUGUCUGGUGGGUAGUUUGACUGGGGCGGUCUCCUCCUAAAGAGUAACGGAGGAGCACGAAGGUUGGCUAAUCCUGGUCGGACAUCAGGAGGUUAGUGCAAUGGCAUAAGCCAGCUUGACUGCGAGCGUGACGGCGCGAGCAGGUGCGAAAGCAGGUCAUAGUGAUCCGGUGGUUCUGAAUGGAAGGGCCAUCGCUCAACGGAUAAAAGGUACUCCGGGGAUAACAGGCUGAUACCGCCCAAGAGUUCAUAUCGACGGCGGUGUUUGGCACCUCGAUGUCGGCUCAUCACAUCCUGGGGCUGAAGUAGGUCCCAAGGGUAUGGCUGUUCGCCAUUUAAAGUGGUACGCGAGCUGGGUUUAGAACGUCGUGAGACAGUUCGGUCCCUAUCUGCCGUGGGCGCUGGAGAACUGAGGGGGGCUGCUCCUAGUACGAGAGGACCGGAGUGGACGCAUCACUGGUGUUCGGGUUGUCAUGCCAAUGGCACUGCCCGGUAGCUAAAUGCGGAAGAGAUAAGUGCUGAAAGCAUCUAAGCACGAAACUUGCCCCGA